CAUCCCCUGCCCCUCUUGGCCUUUGCACCCAAGAGCAGGAUCAGCUGAGCCAGCUGCCCCCUAGAAUGGGCACGGUGUAGUUUGGACACUGCCCCUUAGCUCAGCUCCCCUUGGCCCUGAGGUCUCUAGGCUGGGACUGUGUGCCAGGCAGCCACGAGGGGCUGCAGCACAGAGCAGGUGGGAGACCCGGCUGCUAGCUCUGCUCACCUGGCCCUCUACUAGCGGGUUACGGGGGCUUGCUUUCUCCUAAUGGGGAGAGACCUUCAAGCCCUACCUGGGCAGAGGGCCAGAUCCCAGGACUUG
rnacentral:lncRNA from 1 species